GAUGAACGCUGGCGGCGUGCCUAAUACAUGCAAGUCGAGCGAACAGACGAGGAGCUUGCUCCUCUGACGCUAGCGGCGGACGGGUGAGUAACACGUGGAUAACCUACCUAUAAGACUGGGAUAACUUCGGGAAACCGGAGCUAAUACCGGAUAAUAUAUUGAACCGCAUGGUUCAAUAGUGAAAGACGGUUUUGCUGUCACUUAUAGAUGGAUCCGCGCCGCAUUAGCUAGUUGGUAAGGUAACGGCUUACCAAGGCAACGAUGCGUAGCCGACCUGAGAGGGUGAUCGGCCACACUGGAACUGAGACACGGUCCAGACUCCUACGGGAGGCAGCAGUAGGGAAUCGUACGCAAUGGGCGAAAGCCUGACGGAGCAACGCCGCGUGAGUGAUGAAGGUCUUCGGAUCGUAAAACUCUGUUAUUAGGGAAGAACAAAUGUGUAAGUAACUAUGCACGUCUUGACGGUACCUAAUCAGAAAGCCACGGCUAACUACGUG
rnacentral:rRNA from 1 species